UGCAGGUCGUCCAAUAAAGCUGCCAAGGACCGUGGGAGAAGUUACAAGAAAGAGAAGAAGAAGCGACGUCGCAUUAAGGUUCAAGACUCCUCGUCCAGUGGCAAGAGUGGAGGGGAAGAGGAUGGAGAAGGUGAAGGAGAUGAGAAAGGAACGCC